GUUUGACAAGUCCAAUUCUCUCAAUUCACAAUUAGAAGAUUCAUCAAAGAGAAAGGAAAUACAAUUGUCAGUUAGUCUCUUGCACCCUCGUAUGGACAAUGAUACCAGUGAACGCAUUGCUCCUUUUGAUAAAUGGGACAAUCCCAUAUCACUAAUAUCAGAACCAUCUAUCAGUAAAGCCUUCAAUUCAGAAAGGUUGCUUAUGGUUUGAAGGGCUUCAUCUCCAAUAUUCCUACAGUCCCUCAAGUCAAGAACACUAAGAUUUCCAUUGGAAACCA
rnacentral:misc_RNA from 1 species